AUUGAACGCUGGCGGCAUGCCUUACACAUGCAAGUCGAACGGCAGCACGGGGCAACCUGGUGGCGAGUGGCGAGCAGGUGAGUAAUGCAUCAGAACGUACCUUUCAGUGGGGGAUAACGUAGCGAAAGUUACGCUAAUACCGCAUAUUCUGUGAGCAGGAAAGCAGGGGAUCGCAAGAACUUGCGCUGAUUGAGCGGCCGGUGUCAGAUUAGCUAGUUGGUGAGGUAAAGGCUCACCAAGGCGACGAUCUGUAGCGGGUCUGAGAGGAUGAUCCGCCACACUGGAACUGAGACACGGUCCAGACUCCUACGGGAGGCAGCAGUGGGGAAUUUUGGACAAUGGGGGCAACCCUGAUCCAGCCAUGCCGCGUGAGUGAAGAAGGCCUUCGGGUUGUAAAGCUCUUUCGGCCGGGAAGAAAUCGCACGGGCUAAUACCCUGUGUGGAUGACGGUACCGGAAUAAGAAGCACCGGCUAACUACGUGCCAGCCGCCGCGGUAAUAC
rnacentral:rRNA from 1 species